rnacentral:rRNA from 1 species
AUUGAACGCUGGCGGCAUGCUUUACACAUGCAAGUCGGACGGCAGCACAGAGAAGCUUGCUUCUUGGGUGGCGAGUGGCGAACGGGUGAGUAACAUAUCGGAACGUACCGAGUAAUGGGGGAUAACUAAUCGAAAGAUUAGCUAAUACCGCAUAUUCUCUGAGGAGGAAAGCAGGGGACCUUUUGGCCUUGCGUUAUUCGAGCGGCCGAUAUCUGAUUAGCUAGUUGGUGGGGUAAAGGCCUACCAAGGCGACGAUCAGUAGCGGGUCUGAGAGGAUGAUCCGCCACACUGGGACUGAGACACGGCCCAGACUCCUACGGGAGGCAGCAGUGGGGAAUUUUGGACAAUGGGCGCAAGCCUGAUCCAGCCAUGCCGCGUGUCUGAAGAAGGCCUUCGGGUUGUAAAGGACUUUUGUCAGGGAAGAAAAGGCUGUUGCUAAUAUCGACAGCUGAUGACGGUACCUGAAGAAUAAGCACCGGCUAACUACGUGCCAGCAGCCGCGGUAAUACGUAGGGUGCGAGCGUUAAUCGGAAUUACUGGGCGUAAAGCGAGCGCAGACGGUUACUUAAGCAGGAUGUGAAAUCCCCGGGCUCAACCUGGGGAACUGCGUUCUGAACUGGGUGACUAGAGUGUGUCAGAGGGAGGUAGAAUUCCACGUGUAGCAGUGAAAUGCGUAGAGAUGUGGAGGAAUACCGAUGGCGAAGGCAGCCUCCUGGGAUAACACUGACGUUCAUGCUCGAAAGCGUGGGUAGCAAACAGG